rnacentral:sRNA from 1 species
UUAUAAAUUAUAAAGUGUACUAAUUUCCCCUGUGUCUUCUUGGGAAUUUAACUUAGUCUCAGGGGCCCAGUGGGCUGAGUGUGGUGGAUUUUGCAUUUCAAAUUAAGCCCUAAAUCCAGCAAAUAACCAAGUAAAGAUGGUUAUUAACCCAAUUCAGACUGACUCUGAGUUUAUCCGUUUUUCUAGGACUCUUUAAGAAACAACUGAGGCAUCAGACCAACUUUCCCCACAAGUCCUCGGAUCUUUCCUGCCAUGCUGAUGCCAUAUAUUCCAACGUGAUCAACCUGGCCCCCCAGAAGGAGGACGACUUUGCUGUCUACGCCAAUAUGCCCCCUUUUCAUCACCCCAGGAGGACAUCGCCAGACCAAGUGGAAUAUGCCUCCACUGUAUUCCACUGAUGGGAAGCUAAUGAGAUGCACAGAGUGGAGGUCAGACCUGGCCCCAGCUGAAUCUUGGCAUACCCUUUGCCUUAGAUUUAUGUGUGUGUUUAA